rfam:Flavobacterium hercynium strain DSM 18292 43415_contig_5, whole genome shotgun sequence.
UUUGCGUUAGGGAUAGAAGCGAUAUCCUUUUUGUUUUUUCUUUAAAAACAAAAAGAUAUAGCGGAUAGCCCGGCCGUAG